rnacentral:tRNA from 1 species
GGACCGGUAGCUCAGCUGGAUAGAGCAGCUGCCUUCUAAGCAGCAGGUCCCAGGUUCGAAUCCUGGUCGGUUCA